rnacentral:hammerhead_ribozyme from 1 species
AUUCAGGUGAAGAGUCCCAAAUAGGACGAAACACAGUUUGUCCUGAAU